rnacentral:rRNA from 1 species
GAUGAACGCUGACAGAAUGCUUAACACAUGCAAGUCUACUUGAAUUUGGGUUUUUUAACUUAGAUUUGGGUGGCGGACGGGUGAGUAACGCGUAAAGAACUUGCCUCACAGCUAGGGACAACAUUUGGAAACGAAUGCUAAUACCUGAUAUUAUGAUUAUAAGGCAUCUUAGAAUUAUGAAAGCUAUAUGCGCUGUGAGAGAGCUUUGCGUCCCAUUAGCUAGUUGGAGAGGUAACGGCUCACCAAGGCGAUGAUGGGUAGCCGGCCUCAGAGGGUGAACGGCCACAAGGGGACUGAGACACGGCCCUUACUCCUACGGGAGGCAGGAGUGGGGAAUAUUGGACAAUGGACCAAGAGUCUGAUCCAGCAAUUCUGUGUGCACGAUGACGUUUUUCGGAAUGUAAAGUGCUUUCAGUUGGGAAGAAAAAAAUGACGGUACCAACAGAAGAAGUGACGGCUAAAUACGUG